CGCUGGCGGCGUGCUUAACACAUGCAAGUCGAACGGAAAGGCCCUGCUUUUGUGGGGUGCUCGAGUGGCGAACGGGUGAGUAACACGUGAGUAACCUGCCCUUGACUUUGGGGAUAACUUCAGGAAACUGGGGCUAAUACCGGAUUGGAGCUCCUGCUGCAUGGUGGGGGUUGGAAAGUUUCGGCGGUUGGGGAUGGACUCGCGGCUUAUCAGCUUGUUGGUGGGGUAGUGGCUUACCAAGGCUUUGACGGGUAGCCGGCCCGAGAGGGUGACCGGCCACAUUGGGACUGAGAUACGGCCCAGACUCCUACGGGAGGCAGCAGUGGGGAAUAUUGCACAAUGGGCGGAAGCCUGAUGCAGCAACGCCGCGUGCGGGAUGACGGCCUUCGGGUUGUAAACCGCUUUCGCCUGUGACGAAGCGUGAGUGACGGUAAUGGGUAAAGAAGCACCGGCUAACUACGUG
rnacentral:rRNA from 1 species